AUUGAACGCUGGCGGCAGGCUUAACACAUGCAAGUCGAGCGGGGUGAUGGUGCUUGCACUAUCACUUAGCGGCGGACGGGUGAGUAAUGCUUAGGAAUCUGCCUAUUAGUGGGGGACAACAUCUCGAAAGGGAUGCUAAUACCGCAUACGUCCUACGGGAGAAAGCAGGGGAUCACUUGUGACCUUGCGCUAAUAGAUGAGCCUAAGUCGGAUUAGCUAGUUGGUGGGGUAAAGGCCUACCAAGGCGACGAUCUGUAGCGGGUCUGAGAGGAUGAUCCGGCACAAUGGGACUGAGACACGGCCCAGACUCCUACGGGAGGCAGCAGUGGGGAAUAUUGGACAAUGGGGGGAACCCUGAUCCAGCCAUGCCGCGUGUGUGAAGAAGGCCUUAUGGUUGUAAAGCACUUUAAGCGAGGAGGAGGCUCUUUUGGUUAAUACCCAAGAUGAGUGGACGUUACUCGCAGAAUAAGCACCGGCUAACUCUGUGCCAGCGGCCGCCGUAA
rnacentral:rRNA from 1 species